rfam:Chroococcales cyanobacterium CENA595 contig_39, whole genome shotgun sequence.
GACCUGGACCCAUGCGAUCGCAACGCCUAAAUCUUGUCAGGACCGGAAGGUAGCAGCAAUACGGGAUGCUUGUGGUAGGCGUGGAAUCCGGGUCCCU